UUAUUGAUGUGGGUCUGCGAGUCCAAUUUCAUUUAGGCCUGCGUGCCAACUAGUAUAGAAUACAUGUUGCAACUGGACUAAUUGAAAAAACAAGAAGAGGAGGAGACCAUGAAGAUGGUGCAUUGAUACUAUUCAAUGCUAUACCCCUAGGAAUUGACCAACUAGUCUCCCUUAUGGAUUGGGAAGACUAGAUAGUAAAAAUCUAUAAUCGUCCACACUAUUAUAUUAU
rnacentral:lncRNA from 1 species